UUUUUAUUGAUACAGUUUGCAGAAAACAUUCUUGAAGGAAAAAGCUGUGUAGAACAAUAUGGAGUUUUAGGUAUGUGUGUGAGAGUGAGUGUGAUACAGAUUAAAAUCUAGACAUAUUCUAUAUUUUUGUACAGAUCGCACUCAGAAGAGCUCCAGUUCCUGGGACCCAUUGACUGCAAAAGAUAAGGUGCAGUGCCAGAAGUGUAAGGCUUGCUACUACACAGAUGUUCGAAUACGGCAUGUGGCAUCUGUGCUGUAUGUGAAAGUAGGUAAUAUGUAGUGAGUACAUUACCUGUCAAAGGUAGCUUAACAAGUACAUUGGUAGGCCAUUUAGCUACAGAGUAUUUUUGUGAUAAUGAUAUUCUUGGUGACAAUAACUGAAAUGUUUAGUUUAAUUUAAUUUAAAUAAUAACUUCUUAAAAAAAAAUAAAAAAUGUUUUUUUAUAGUAUAAGACACACACAAAGUUCUGGAAAAAAAAAUCAAGAUUGAUCACAAGCAAUCAAACCAAACUGAACUGCUUGAAUUUUUGCACCAGGAGUGGCCUAAAGUUAUCCAAAGGCAGUGUGUAAGACCGGUGGAGGAGAGCAUGAUGCCAAGAUGCAUGAAAACUGAUUAAAAACCAGGGUUAUUCCACCAAAUAGAUUUUUUUUAGGUCUAUAAGCUCUGCAUCUUUUUAUUUCAGCCAUUUCUUUUCUGCAGAUAAAUGCUCUAAAUGACUUUUUUGUAAUUUGGGAGAAAUAUUGCCGUAGUUUCUAGAAUAAAACAUAUCUAUAAAAAGCAAAAUCAGAGAAACGGAUUCAGAAACUGAAGUGGUGUAUUAAUCAUUUCCAGAGCUCGCUCUGUGUGUGUGUCUCUUUCUCUCUACAUAAUUUGGAAUAUUAGACCAUGUUAGCCCUUAUAAAUCAGACCAUCCCUGUAUUAAGGGGUAAGAGUGAGAUGUUAGCCUAGUGCUUUGUUUUUUUAGUUGCAGUAUUCUUUUACCAAUGUCUAACUUUUUUCCCCAUGGUCAUUUAAAUGUGUGUAAUAAAAAAAAGGUGUCUUAUUCCAGUUUGUUCUUUUAAUAAAACGUUGCUUAAAGAA